rnacentral:lncRNA from 1 species
GUGUUCGGAGGUCGGAAGAUGUAAGGCAGGCAGGCUACAUCACCGAUAGGUUUAUGUAGGAUCUCUCCCAGAUCUGCAAAGCCAGGAAGCCUGAGGAAGAACUGGCAGUGGACCCCAUUUUGCCAUCAGCACCAGGAAGAGCUGCUUACAUUUCUGCAUGCAGCUCAAACUCAGAAGCCCCCAAGCAAGUCGGGAUAUAAGCACUUCAUUGGCUGGAGCUCAUCAGAGCAGGAUUUGCUGAUUUCUCUUUCAGAAAUAGAAAUCCAGCAGGAUACGGGAGCACUGAGGAUGAAUGACCAUCUCUUAAUCAGCUAGAAGAUCAGAUGAAACAAAGGCAGCACAGAGCCCUGCUCCGGGGAGAGACUGCUGUUAAGAGGAGUCGCCCUGUCAAGCCAGGGAUCUCAGGAAUAUUAAAGUACUGUGCAAUGAAAUGGGUCUCUGUCCCUGCUUAAUCUAAAUCUGAUUCUUUCUUCUUGUUCUUGUUCUUCUUCUUUUUAAUACCAAAAACAAAACAAAGGGGCCAUUUAUCACUUAGGUGCACCAGAACAUAACAGGGUUGAGGAAUCAGUGACAGGGGACUAACACUGACAGAUUUUGUUCCACAACUGUGUGCUUGCUUUUUUUCCUGCCAGCACUCACACAAGAGCAGUAACUUCAGCUCAGAGUGGGUUGCUUUUGAAAUUUAAAGCCACAGUACAAGAAUGAUAGAACCUGAAUCCAAAUGAAUUGCCUCCUUCCCUACAUAUGUGAAUCCUCAUGGAGGUGAGAGGAUUAGGGUCAGGUCAGUCACAGAACAAUAUAUUACUGGAUGAAAACCUACCUGGAGGUUAGAGGGAAAGGGGAAAAUGCCCCCCACAUUAUAGUUAUGUGAAAUUUUGUGACCACAGUAAUUCCCAAAGACCACCUCCUAAUGCACAGAAGGGCUGCACUCUUCAUCCAUGGAGGAAUAGCACUCACACUGAUGAAAACAGACUAAGGUAAACUGAUGAAGCCCCCUGGCUCUGGAGACAUUAUGCCAAAGCAAAUGUAGUUUCCCUCGUGUCUAAGCCAGGACUGGUUAGGAAUAGUCCCUGUUGCUGAGGCAAUGUUACAUAUGGAACCAAAGGGAAACUGUCCAACUGAAGUUCAUUUGGUAGGGAAUAGGGUGGAGUAUUUAGAGAGUGGGGCUGACUUCUCAAGCCAAUGCAUAAAACUGACUUAUUAAACUAAUCUGUUCUUCUGGUUUUAAACUAUCUGCCUGACCCCAGGCAGAGUCUCUUCCCUUACUUCAUGAAAUCUAUAAUUCUCAGAUAUUAACUCAUGCAUCUGAUCCCAACUCAUGCCCUGCCUCCAGCCCCUCUGUUUAGCAACUUCCAAUAACCCUGGCAGGGCCAGGAGGAACAUCAUAGGAUGCUCU